GACGUAGGCAGCAAGCGUUGUUCGGAAUUACUGGGCGUAAAGAGUGUGUAGGCGGUGCUCCAAGUCUGGUGUGAAAUCUCCCGGCUUAACUGGGAGGGUGCAUUAGAAACUGGAAUGCUAGAGGAUGGGAGAGGUAAGCGGAAUUCCUGGUGUAGCGGUGAAAUGCGUAGAUAUCAGGAGGAACACCUGUGGUGUAGACAGCUUACUGGACCAUUUCUGACGCUGAGACACGAAAGCGUGGGUAGCAAACAGG
rnacentral:rRNA from 1 species